GGAGUUAAUGGACGUUGUGUUCUCACCUCUGCAAACAAUAAAAACUGGAUGCAAAUGCUAGUAAUUAUUUUUCAAUGGAAAGAGCUGAAAAGAAAUUUUUCC